AUAAUCAUUUGUCUUUUAAUUGAAGUCUAGUAUGAAAGGUUGGAUGAGAAAUUUACUUUCUUUAAUUUAUAUAAAAAAAUUAAUUUCUUAAUUAAAAAGUUUAGAUAUAUAUAUAGGACGAGAAGACCCUAUAGAACUUUAUUUUUAUUAAAAAUAUUUAAUUUUAGAUUAUUAAUUUAUAUAUUUUUAUAUAAAUUUUGUUGGGGUGACAAAAAAAAUUUUUUAACUUUUUUUUAUUUUAUCAUUUAUAUGUGAUUAAUUGAUCCUUUAUUAAGGAAAAAAGACUAAGUUACCUUAGGGAUAACAGCGUUAUUAUCUUAGAGAGUUCAUAUUGAUAAGAUAGUUUGCGACCUCGAUGUUGGAUUAAAAUAAGUUUUAGGAGUAGAAGAUUAAAAACUAGGUCUGUUCGACCUUUAAAUUUUUACAUGAUCUGAGU
rnacentral:rRNA from 1 species